rnacentral:rRNA from 1 species
AUUGAACGCUGGCGGCAUGCCUUACACAUGCAAGUCGAACGGUAGCAGACCUAGCUUGCUAGGUGCUGACGAGUGGCGGACGGGUGAGUAACGCGUGGGAAUCUGCCCAGUAGCGGGGGACAACUCGGGGAAACUCGAGCUAAUACCGCAUACGCCCUACGGGGGAAAGGCUUCGGCCACUAUUGGAUGAGCCCGCGUCGGAUUAGCUUGUUGGUGGGGUAAUGGCCUACCAAGGCGACGAUCCGUAGCUGGUCUGAGAGGAUGAUCAGCCACACUGGGACUGAGACACGGCCCAGACUCCUACGGGAGGCAGCAGUGGGGAAUAUUGGACAAUGGGCGAAAGCCUGAUCCAGCAAUGCCGCGUGUGUGAAGAAGGCCUGCGGGUUGUAAAGCACUUUCAGUAGGGAAGAUUAUGACGGUACCUACAGAAGAAGCACCGGCUAACUCCGUG